rnacentral:lncRNA from 1 species
AUUGUGUCCAUAUUUACACAUAUUUAUAGAGACCAUAUUUACAUGUGUCCACAGGAAAUCCCCAAUGAGGCAAAAGGGCAUAACUUUGUGGCUGCCAUUCUUGAAGAACAGGAUUCAGAGGGAAAUGAUGUGACUGAGGAAGAUUGUGCAUCUCCCACCAAAGAACAUGGUGGGCGCAGGAGGAGUGAGGUGCCUUGUCCAGAGUUUGACAAUAACAAUCAGGGGCAGUCUGACACCCACUGUAUGACAGGCCUGGACAAUGAGCAGCCUCCUGACGGCCGAUUCGCUGGUCUGUUAUACCUCGACGUCUAUCGUCAUGGACGGGAUCCUUUGACUCACCAUGCGUCCACCAGCAACAUCAACCUGGAGGAGCAAGGGGUCACCAAUGAGGCAGCAAAACCCAAGAACAAAUGUCAUCGUGGACCCCUAGCUGUGUGAAAUCCUCAAUCCACCCAGUCAUAGACCUACUCCAAUCCUGAGAGGAAUAUCUGCCUCUUUCUUCAUGCCACCUCCACCCAAACUUGUGCCCACACCAAUUACUCAUGGAUCAAAUCCUAAAUGCAAACCAAGGAGAACUGACUGUGUGGUUUCUCUUCUCCAUUGUGAUAGAUGUCAUGUUUUUAGCGCUCUUUUGGUAUUGACACUUGUGUAAAGCACCACGUUUACACCAACGCUUCACUCCCUCAUGCGUACAAAUGAAGGGAUGACUCAAGCAAGCUCUCCUGCUGAAAGGCUUGAAAACAAGGACAUGAUGAAAACUCCAACCUCUGAUCCAAGCAGCAUUUCAGUGUUUAUCUCUUAGAGAGCAGUCAAACUUCGUGUCAAGGCUGUGCGACUAUGCUUUUUAAAGUCAAUAAUCAAAUCCUGCUGAUCUGAAUCAACAUCAGCUCAGCAGAUCAACUUGUACUAUUGGAAAUCUGCCCACAAUACCCAAGAUACCAAGAUAUAAAGAAUACGAUGGAAAAGAGUGAGAUGAAUUUUCAGAACUGACAUCAGAACAAUCAAUCCUUCACGAUAUUAACUUUAGAGCAGUUACACAUAUUUGCUCAUGUUUCUGCCCUUGUCAGUUUGCUGCAGCUCACUGAGCUCUACGUACAGCCCUGCAUGUUACAAAGACACAAAGCUACUGAGCUGCCUAACUUGCAUUACGCAUCUGGCCACGGAAAUGCUACUGAACUGCUUACUACCAAGCAUUUUCGAACAUUUUUAUAGGAAAUGGAAAUGUCUGGGAAAUCUUGCACCUGUGGUCGAAACUCAGAUUGCUACUGUUGAUGGUAUGUUAAAUGUCAUAAAGCUACUUUUUGUGUUUUGUUUUCAAAAAGUGUUAAUGCCACUCUAAAAAAUUCUGGGUUAAAUAUGGACAAACCCAGCGAUUGGGUUGUUUUCAACCAACAGUUGGAUUAAAUGUUUAACCCAACCUUCUGGGCCGUAACCCAACCGCUGGGUCAAAAACAACCCAAUCGCUGGGUCAAAAACAACCCAUAUUUUACCCAGUGCUGGGUUGUAUUUAACCCAGCAUUUUUUUGAGUGUUAUUUCAUAAGGUACAAUUUAGCAUGUUACAGUUAGUCAAUUUGUAUCCAAGAGUUGAAGCAAAGCUGAAGUAGCUCUUCAGAAGUCAUUUUUGUUAUGUAUUCCUUUUGAAAAGUGUUGCACUUUCCUAUAGGGAUCCUUAACUGAAAGUGUUUACUUAGCUCCAGCAGUCACUAUACAUUGAAAAUGAAGGAAAGACUUUAAAAAGUGUGCCACUAACUUGAAAAACAAUCAGCAACUUUCAGUUUCUCGACAGUUCUGCCAAACCGAAUUCAUAGUGUUUAAACUUGCACUUUGUUUUUACCAGUGGUAUUUUAGUGGUUAUUUUACUUUACGAAAAUCUUCUACUGAUCUGUGUGUUCUCUUUUCAAUCCCUAAAAGGGAUAGUUCACCCAAAAAUUCUGUUAUCAUUUUCCCAAAAUGCCAUUUGACCCCAUUGACUUUCAUUGUGUUCCACAGAAGAAAAAAGGUCAUACAGGUUUGGAACGAUAUGAAGGUGAGUAAAUGAAAAUAAUUUUAGAUUUUUGGGUGAGCUAUCCCUUUAUGAUCAUUCCUACAAUGAUUCAUUGGCACUUGUCUGUAGACUAUCUGAUUGAAAAAAGGAUUUACAGUACAAUCAAAUAGUGAUUAUAACUCUCUUAAAAUGUCUGUUGUACUUUGAGAACCAACAAAGCUUUUCCUUUGUGUGGAAAAUGUUUAUUUUUUUAUUUUUAUGUUAGCUUAGCUCUUGUUAUUGUUGUAAUGGUCUGUUCAAUGUGUUGUUUUAGAAUAUGAAUGGUGUGAAAUUUCUCCAAAUGGGAUUGUAUACAUUACACAUGCACUAGUAGAUUUUCCCUUGAGAGCAGAUAUGCAGUGCAUGUGGUAAGCGCAUGGUAGUUGCAGUCAGAAAAUAGACAUUCUCCACCUUUACAUUUGCACUAUAUGUCUAGCCCUUCCACACUGAGCUUGCACACUGUGUGAGCAACAGGUACUGAGUCACAAGACAAGCAAUACAGCCACAGAACUGGAGAGGCUCUGCAAGGAGGAAUGGCAGAGGAUCCCUAAAUCCAGGUGUGAA